rnacentral:lncRNA from 1 species
CAAGCACAAUUUUACCGUGGGGGAUCCAGAAAUUUUCAUACUGAGUAAGUAGGAGCCCACUGACUGCCUAAGAGGUCAGUAUCGGAUCCCCUACCAACCCCCCCCCUAAUAAAUCCGCCUCUGAUGUUCGAACUCGAAUAAGGACAAUGAAUGCUUGGGCAAGGAUUUGUAAAGUGACUAUACAAAUCUUUGCUUUGGGGCUUCUGCUUAUAUUUUUGUCGUCACUCUUGGUCAAACUACGGUGUGUGCAUACGCUAAAUAAUUUACAAGGAUUUUUUUUUAAAAUAGGCUUUUCACGAAUUUAGUAUUAACCGCAUUUCAAUAUUGGAUAUAGAUAUCUAUAGAUUGAAUUCACAUCUCUUUUUAAUUCCACAGUGCAAUUACUUUUUACUUUCGGCGAAGAAAACUUCAAUUUCAAUCUAUUCAGGCUUCAGUUCGGCAAAGCAAAUUUAGUCACACUCCGGCAUCAGUGCUUAAGUUGCACAUUGCAGUCCAGUCUAAUUGUGUUAUAAAUCUACGUUGUAGACAGAAAAAAAAUGUUUGUAUCAUAAAUGUCAAUAAAGAAACACAUUAUAUAAUUUAAACAAAACUAUAAAAUUGUUUAAUGCAAAAUCAAUGUUCGUUUUCAUCACCUCUAUAUUUCCCGCCAGAUGUCACUGUUGUAAAACAAACCCACUUGAUGACAUCCGGGUUUUUAUUCAAAUGCAGCAGCUGAUCGCCGAAAAGAACAGACUACUCGACCAUUGUCAACGUUAAAUUUGCGCUUCAGAAAAUACUAUGAAACAUUGUUGAACAUUUAAAUGUAACAUAAAUUAUUUUAUUGGUAGGUGACCCGAGGAGAGAUACAGUACAUUAUCGUGAGCUUUGGAGCGUGAUUAAAUUUGAUAAGCAAACAUUUUCAUUUGUAUUGAAAAUGGCGGAAGUAGCCACACAAAUUUCUGAAACUGGACUUCUGAUUGCAAAUGAUAAACCCGUAAAAAUGUACAUCACAGAUUAUAAUUGUAAAUUAAACAACAUCGCACAACCAUCAUUUAUUAAUGGAUGUCAAUUGAAAAGAGAAGACAACAAAGAAAACGAAGGAAAUCGUGAGGUGAGUGUGCG